UGGGGAAUAUUGCACAAUGGGGGAAACCCUGAUGCAGCGACGCCGCGUGAACGAAGAAGGUAUUCGUAUCGUAAAGUUCUGUCCUAUGGGAAGAUAAUGACAGUACCAUAGAAGAAAGCUCCGGCUAAAUACGUGCCAGCAGCCGCGGUAAUACGUAUGGAGCGAGCGUUGUCCGGAAUUAUUGGGCGUAAAGGGUACGCAGGCGGUUUAAUAAGUCGAAUGUUAAAGAUCGGGGCUCAACCCCGUAAAGCAUUGGAAACUGAUAAACUUGAGUAGGGGAGAGGAAAGUGGAAGUCCUAGUGUAGUGGUGAAAUACGUAGAUAUUAGGAGGAAGACCAGUAGCGAAGGCGACUUUCUGGACACAAACUGACGCUGAGGUACGAAAGCGUGGGGAGCAAACAGG
rnacentral:rRNA from 1 species